AUACGGAAGGUCCGGGCGUUAUCCGGAUUUAUUGGGUUUAAAGGGAGCGCAGGCGGAGAUGCAAGCGUGACGUCCAAUUUCGGGGCUCAACCCCGUCUCGCGUCGCGAACUGCGUCCCUUGGUUGCGGGAAGGGGAGGCGGAACUCGUGGUGUAGCGGGUGAAUGCAUAGAUAUCACGAAGAACUCCGGCCGCGAAGGCAGCCUUCCGGCCCGUCAACGACGCUCAUGCUCGAAGGUGCGGGUAUCAAACAGGAUUAGAUACCCUGGUAGUCCGCACAGUAAACGAUGGACACCCGCGGUUUGGCCUGUAUGGCUGAGCCGCCAAGCGAAAGCGUUAAGUGUCCCCCCUGGGGAGUAUGCCGGCAACGGUGAAACUCAAAUGAAUUGACGGG
rnacentral:rRNA from 1 species